rnacentral:rRNA from 1 species
ACGAACGCUGGCGGCGUGCUUCACACAUGCAAGUCGAACGGAAAGGCCCUGCUUUUGUGGGGUGCUCGAGUGGCGAGCGGGUGAGUAACACGUGAGUAACCUGCCCUUGACUUUGGGAUAACUUCAGGAAACUGGGGCUAAUACCGGAUAGGAGCUCCUGCUGCAUGGUGGGGGUUGGAAAGUUUCGGCGGUUGGGGAUGGACUCGCGGCUUAUCAGCUUGUUGGUGGGGUAGUGGCUUACCAAGGCUUUGACGGGUAGCCGGCCUGAGAGGGUGACCGGCCACAUUGGGACUGAGAUACGGCCCAGACUCCUACGGGAGGCAGCAGUGGGGAAUAUUGCACAAUGGGCGGAAGCCUGAUGCAGCAACGCCGCGUGCGGGAUGACGGCCUUCGGGUUGUAAACCGCUUUCGCCUGUGACGAAGCGUGAGUGACGGUAAUGGGUAAAGAAGCACCGGCUAACUACGUG